rnacentral:lncRNA from 1 species
AAUUUGCUCCUCUUUCUUUUCUGUCUGGCUGGAGAUCUAUCUCCAGCUCUCCUCCUCUCCUCUCCUCUCCCCCCACCCCCUUCUCCUUCCCUCGCUUCUCCCCUCCCCGAAGGAAAAAAGAGGCAGAGGAAGGA